GAUGAAGAACGUAGCGAAAUGCGAUACUUGGUGUGAAUUGCAGAAUCCCGUGAACCAUCGAGUCUUUGAACGCAAGUUGCGCCUCAAGCCAUUAGGUUGAGGGCACGUCUGCCUGGGCGUCACAUAUCGUUGCCUGAUGCCAGUUUCCUCGUGAUGGGUGACUGUGCAGGGCGAAUGAUGGCUUCCCGUGAGCAUUGUUGCCUCAUGGUUGGUUGAAAAUUGAGUCCUUGGUAGGGAGCGCCGUGAUAGAUGGUGGUUGAGUGACGAACGAGACCCAAUCAUGUGAGACCCCUACCGAAUUUGGCCUUCAUGACCCACAUGCGUCUUUGGAACGCUCAUGACGAGACCUCAGGUCAGGCGGGGCUACCCGCUGAGUUUAAGCAUAUCAAUAAGCAGAGGA
rnacentral:misc_RNA from 1 species